AGGUCAGGUUGGAGGCCACACAAGGUCACAGGAAGACUCACCAGCUGCCAAGUAGUCAGUCACCAAUCCUCAGGCAUGUCACAUGAAGCCACAGGCAGCCACAUGGAAUCACAGGUGCUUUCCGAGGACACAGGCAGGGAUGGUUAUGUGUGUGGUACAUGAGAGCUCAGAUUCCUUAGCUAUGGCUAAAAAGUCACCAAGUUGCUGAUGGCGUUGGGAUGCCUCUGUCUGGGAACAAAAGGAGAAAGCCUGAUUCUGCGAUUUUCCAAAAGAGUAAAGGUAGGUAUUCUGAUGGAGGCUCUCUGGACAUCUUCAGGUGGAUUUCACGAAGUUCCCCCUCAAAACUCUUGUGCUCUUCAAGCAUUAAGGAUUCACUAGGUCUCCAGCACCGAGGACAGCGCUCAGGCAGUCCAGCCCUCUCUACAGGCAGCCAGGCACUAAUUGAGAUCAGGACCCUGACCAGGAGGAAGAGGGUGAGAAACCAGACAUCAGACAUCAGGAAACAAGGGUGGAUAGAUGGGCGGAUCUUCUUCUUCUCCACCACAAAGCUCUUCCUCUCUUCAGACCCAGAAACAGCCAGGCGACUAUGGACUGAGACCUCUGAAACUAUGAUCCAAGACAGAACUUUAAGUUGAUAUUUCUCAGGCAUUUUGUCAGAGUGGCAGAAACUUGACACCAGCCAUCCAAGUCGAGCAAAGGAUACCAGCUGCAGCAAUGGCUCUGAUUCUAUCACGGCGUUGAUGCCUGGAGGAGAUCUCUGCCCUUUUCUGUCUCCACUGAUGCAAGUAGAUGCUGGCCUAGAGACUGCUGGUACCAAGUAACAAUUUGCUGCCUUUUCAUCAUCACAGUUGAGUGACCAGCCUCUGUGCCCACACCAGCCUCCAUCUCCUUGUCUGUUCUGCUGAUGGUCAUGAGAAACAGCCCAAGAUGGAUGGGAUCUGAUGAUCUUGCACAUAGACCAUCUGAGUCAUGACCCCUUGGUAUCUGUAAGUCUGAAACAUGUUUUCAGUUCCGGAGAUGGAGCCCAGGGCCUCACAUAGGCUAGGCCAAGUGUUUUAUUACUCAGAAGCAUCCAUAACCAUUCCUAUCAGUUUUGAACAUACUUUGAUAUUUUCCCACAUUGUAAGUGCCUCUUUCUGGUGGUACCCAGAAAACUCACUUUUCCAGCCUUCCUUGAAUCCAGGAAUGGGUAAGUGAAUUAGAUUGUGCCAAUGAGAUAUGUCUUCAUGAGCCUCUGAUCCAAAAAUCAGGAAUGAGUGGGGGAAACUCCUGCCCAUGGCAUCCAUCUUGCUGGCAGGAAAGUAGCAAAGUAAUGAAUGGUGUGUGACUGUGGGAGCUGCUCUUGGAAAUUUAAGGGUUUUUUUUUGAACCUCCCAUAAAUGCUGUGAGCUAUACAACAAUUUUCAGUAAGUUCUUUUUAUGCUAAAAGAAAGGAGUCCGUAUAGGUUUGGUGUUGUGCACAGCCAAGAACUGAGUUUGUCUCCCUCAUUGCCCCAUUGCUCAAGGUCUUUUCAGCCCUUGAAAGCUUGUGGCUACAGAGCUAAGCACAGAGUAUGAAACAUGCCUGGUCCCUCAUGCGGUCUCACUGUGGAAAUGAAAGUUCUGGCUGGUGAGGCUUGCUGAGACGGGGUCUCACUAUGAAGCCUUGGCUGGCUUGAAACUCACUCUGUAGAACAGGCUACUCUCAAACUCACGGAGACCCACCUGCCUCUGCCUCCCCAGUGCUGGAGUACAAGCGUAUGCACUACCAUGUUUGGCUCUCAGCUAAACUCAGUGAAGAAUCCACUGAGAAGAGCCACCCCGUUGACAGCCAGGACUUUGGAGACAAAAAGCAACAACUGAGAAAAUGUAAUGUCUACCUUAUAACCUCCAGGGAGUAGCAGUGGGUGUCCUCUCAAUAAAGCUGAUCACUGAA